GGGUUCGUCCCGUGGAGAGGCUCGUGCAGAGCUGGAGGGGUUCCGAACACUCCUACUGACAGCAGCCUCUUUCCCUGGCAUCAG
rnacentral:miRNA from 1 species